UGAGGGAUACUGGACAAUGGGCGCAAGCCUGGUCUAGCCAUGCCGCGUGCAGGAAGAAGCAUCUAUGGUGUGUAAACUGCUUUUGUACGGGAAGAAACACACCUUCGUGAAGGAGCUUGACGGUACCGUAAGAAUAAGGAUCGGCUAACUCCGUGCCAGCAGCCGCGGUAAUACGGAGGAUCCAAGCGUUAUCCGGAAUCAUUGGGUUUAAAGGGUCCGUAGGCGGUUAAGUAAGUCAGUGGUGAAAGCCCAUCGCUCAACGAUGGAACGGCCAUUGAUACUGAGAGACUUGAAUUAUUAGGAAGUAACUAGAAUAUGUAGUGUAGCGGUGAAAUGCUUAGAUAUUACAUGGAAUACCAAUUGCGAAGGCAGGUUACUACUAAUGGAUUGACGCUGAUGGACGAAAGCGUGGGGAGCGAACA
rnacentral:rRNA from 1 species